GCUUGUCUCAAAGAUUAAGCCAUGCAUGUCUAAGUAUAAGCAAUUAUACGGCGAAACUGCGAAUGGCUCAUUAUAUAAGUUAUCGUUUAUUUGAUAGUACUUUACUACUUGGAUAACCGUGGUAAUUCUAGAGCUAAUACAUGCUAAAAAUCCCGACUUCGGAAGGGAUGUAUUUAUUAGAUUAAAAACCAAUGCCCUUUGGGCUCCUUGGUGAAUCAUGAUAACUUCUCGAAUCGCAUGGCCUUGCGCCGGCGAUGGUUCAUUCAAAUUUCUUCCCUAUCAACUUUCGAUGUUUGGGUAUUGGCCAAACAUGGUCGCAACGGGUAACGGAGGGUUAGGGCUCGACCCCGGAGAAGGAGCCUGAGAAACGGCUACUACAUCCAAGGAAGGCAGCAGGC
rnacentral:rRNA from 1 species